GUCAGUAGUGGGCGCUGCUGAGGGUAUCAGUAUAGGGUGUAAGUUCCCUUUAAAUAUGUCACUUCCUGUUGGUUGGAAUGGCUGCAGUGUUUGAAUUGUUUGGCAUGGUUGGUCGCUGGAAGAACAAGCUCUGGUAGGUUUAUUUAAGAGAGGUUAUGGUCUUAAGAAUAGUGUUUUAAUGCUCACUUGUGAUGUUUUGUGAUUGGUUUGACGUGUUGACCAAGAGCCGGUGAUUUUGGGUUUUAGUGUUGUUUUAAUUGGGCAUGGGGUGUUUGAUCAAUUCAUUGUGUUUAUGUAGUUGGUUUGUUUAGACGUGUGUUCUAAAUACCUUAAUGCUGAGAAGGUUUGACUGGAUGAGUGGUGGACACUGGGUUACCAUUGCAGUACACUGCACAGAAGUUUCCUUAAAGGCCCUUAUAUUGGCUGCUGAACGAGAUGAGCAGUGGAUAUUAACGACGGUUGUACUUCCUGUGGUGUCUGAAAUAAGAAUUUGAUCCAUCCAGUGUAAAUGACCACUGUUUUUCCCUACCUUUGUGUUUUUUUGUUUCUUUAUAGGGUUAUGG